rnacentral:rRNA from 1 species
UACGUAGGGGGCAAGCGUUAUCCGGAUUUACUGGGUGUAAAGGGAGCGUAGACGGCGAUGUAAGUCUGAAGUGAAAGGCGGGGGCCCAACCCCCGGACUGCUUUGGAAACUGUAUGGCUGGAGUGCAGGAGAGGUAAGUGGAAUUCCUAGUGUAGCGGUGAAAUGCGUAGAUAUUAGGAGGAACACCAGUGGCGAAGGCGGCUUACUGGACUGUAACUGACGUUGAGGCUCGAAAGCGUGGGGAGCAAACAGG